AACGAACGCUGGCGGCAGGCUUAACACAUGCAAGUCGAACGGGUGUAGCAAUACAUCAGUGGCAGACGGGUGAGUAACACGUGGGAACCUUCCUCGGGGUACGGAACAACUCAGGGAAACUUGAGCUAAUACCGUAUACGUCCGUGAGGAGAAAGAUUUAUCGCCCUUAGACGGGCCCGAGUCGGAUUAGGUAGUUGGUGGGGUAACGGCCUACCAAGCUUACGAUCCGUAGCUGAUCGUAGAGGAUGAUCAGCCACACUGGGACUGAGACACGGCCCAGACUCGUACGGGAGGCAGAAGUGGGGAAUGUUGGACAAUGGGCGCAAGCCUGAUCCAGCCAUGCCGCGUGAGUGUAGUAGGCCUUAGGGUUGUAAAGGUCUUUUACCAGGGACGAUAAUGACGGUACCUGGAGAAUAAGCCCCGACAAACUUCGUGCCAGCCGCCGCAGUAAGAC
rnacentral:rRNA from 1 species